UUUAUUUUUAAGAGAGUUGCCAUUUCUACUUUAAGGUCAGAGAUUCCCAGCAGGAUUUCCAAAACAUCAAACUCUGAAUGAAACACAGCAUUAUUCCCAAUGAUUAUCCUCUUUUUAAAUACAAUUUCGAUUCUGGGAUGGUAAAUGUAGUCACAUGAUUCGUUUUGAGAGGUUGUGGUCUUGAGACCCAGUGAAGGAGAGAACAGACUGAUUUAUUGCCCUCCCAUUCACACUCACACUCACAUAUGCAAGUGCACACCCAUCAUCUUUAAACACAUCUCCCACACACCCUGAAGGAGUAUAAAUCCCGAUAAGACGGAAUAGACUAGCACACAUGUACAGCACCAGAGACUGUGUGCGAGGAGCACGCCAGGUUGGAUCCAGUCCACAUUUAUUAAUUUUCCCUUAUCAGUGUUCAAUAUUGAAAAUGGAAAGCAAACAGCUGGUGCGGAUGCUGUCAGCAGAUAGACCUUAGUCUCUAUUGAAAAACAAGAGCGGGUCAAUAGAGAAGCACAGCUGAGAGGUCCAGUGUGCUUUGCGGACUGAAACGUCCAGCUCUACUGAGGCCUCCUUCUUCUGUGGACUGUAUGGAAGACAGCAACCAUGCAACACUGUGAUUAUUAUCUGUGCCUCACCGUCUACAUCGUCACCUUCAUCACCGGCUUCCCGGCCAACGUCUUGGCCUUCUACACGGUCAGCCGCAAGGUCUGGAGAAAGCCGGCACCCAUCGACAUCCUCCUCCUCAACCUGAUCAUCUCAGACUUGCUCUUCCUCAUCUUCCUCCCCUUUAAGAUGCAAGAAGUGGCCAAUUAUAUGGUGUGGAAUAUUGACUACUUUCUGUGUCCGCUGUCUGGUUUUGUCUUCUACAUGACUAUCUACAACAGCACCUUCUUCUUGACCGCGGUGAGCGUGGAGCGCUACCUCGGCGUGGCGUUCCCAAUCCAGCACUCCCUGUGGAGAAGACCCAUCUACGCCGUGUUCGCCAGCAUCUUCAUUUGGUUGCUUUCCAUCCUCCAUCUCAGCAUUGUUUACAUCGUGCCCUACUAUAACCCAUCCGGGAUGGUCCCACCAUCUAGAAACGUUUGCUACGAGGGAUUCACAGAUGCUCAACUCGAGAUCCUCUUGCCCGUACGCUUGGAGUUAUGCAUUGUCCUCUUCUGCAUUCCCUUACUUAUCUGCAGCUUUUGCUAUAUAAACUUCAUCCGGAUUCUUUCCAAGCUGCCAAACAUCGGCCGACGGAGAAAGCUGCGGGCGAUUGGAUUGGCUUUGGGAACGUUAUUGGUGUUCGUGCUCUGUUUUGGACCUUACAAUGUUUCCCAUGUUGUUGGCUUCAUAACCAAGUCAAGCCCUGCUUGGAGAGACAAAGCUCUUCUUCUCAGCACGUUCAAUGCUUGUUUGGACCCGAUUAUUUUUUACUUCACCUCGGCGGCUGUUAGAAACACACUUGGGGCGAUGAUGAGGGGCAUUUGGGGUAGAUGUUGGUGUCCACGAGUCCUAUGGAGCUCCAGGAAGGAACCUACUGAAACUGAGAAAAACAGUCUCCCGAAGCCACAGGAGAUCACCAACGCACUUUGACCAGUGUUUUAUCAUUUAGGACAGGGAACGACCAUGCAAUUAUUUUUUUGUACACAAAUGCAGCAUGGUAAACAUUACUCAACUUCCUUGUAAGACGGAGGCGGCAGGCAACGCCAAAACAUUACCAGCACAACUCACGUGUAGUACGAAAAGGAAAACACUGUAACCAAACCGGUGCACAGAGAGACGUGGGCAAAAAGAGGAUUAACUUCCUUUUGUAUAGAGUGUUUAUUCAUCCGUGGUGUGAGCUCAUCUUUAUAACAAACUGGUCAUCAUUCACUUUAUUGAAUAUAAACAGACAGCAGUUUGAGGACAUUGAUCACCGAGAUAAAUGAACCACAGCCGUCGGCCGUAUGAAGGUCAACAGAAGCGCCGCUCUCAAGCAUGUCACGAUUCACACAAGCUCCAGUCUGGAUCCAGAACAUCUGAGAAGAGAUGAUGCUGACCCUCAGAGGACCUCGGAUGAUGCUAACCCUGAAACAACAUACAGAACUAACAAAUAUAGCUACAAGUGUGAUUGCAUCAUAUAACAAUUGCUGUUAAUAGUGUUCAUCAUCUGGCUGACAACAUCUUUAAUUAGUUUUUCCUAAAAUAAGUUUCAAGAACUGCAAAAUAACUUUCUUAAAAGUUUUUUAAUGCUUUAUUUUGAUGCAGUCUGUUGACAAGAAGUAACUUUGCUCCUACAUGUCAACAAACUCCUAUUAGAGUGUUAGAAAUCUGUCUUUUCUGCUAACUCUUUAUUGUGAUGGUGUCCCAACAGACAUUAUUCAGACUAAAAGUAACUCAUUUCAACUUAUUCUAUCCCUACCAGACUACUAAUGCUCUGCUUACAGUCUAAUGAGCGUCAGAAGACAUGUAGGUGCAACGUUACAUAGUUAACAGAAUGUGUCAAAGGGACCAUCAAAAUAAAGUUUAAACCAUUUUUUCUAACGAAUCCAUCUCCAGAACAUCAAUGCACGAGUGUGUAAACUGUGGGGUUAUAAAAAGUCUAAUUUCACAGAAUGUUAUCUGUAUAUGAGCAUCUGAUUUAACCGAACUUACAGUAUAUGGGAUCUCAUUUACACCAGUUCUGUUGAAGACAUCUAAUAUUCUUUAACGUUUCUGCACCGCACAAGAUUCAUAAUGCUGUCAACUUUAUUUCAGGAUCUAACCGCUAUACAUCAAAUAAACGUUUUCCAUUUUCUCAAAACUACCACCAUUACCUGCCCACCUGCAGUAAUAAAUACACUCAGGCUGGAAAUAUCUUUAGAUUUUGAGCAUAUCCAAGCAUCCAGUCACCUCAGUGGGUUUUGCUUCUAAAAAAGUGUGUGAAGGACUUUCAUGAGCUGAAGAGUUUCAUUUUAGUAAAAGGUGACUUAAUACCAAUAUGCCUACAGAACAAUGAUUUUCAAUGAAUCAUCUCAGAUUAGACCAGAAAUAACUGCCAAAAAACAAAACAAAAAAACCUGUUACUGUGAAUUGUGACGUAAUCUGUUGCUCAUCCACCCUAGAGCACAUAAAUUAAACUCCUUAAAGAAACAGUUCAGCCAAAAAUGAAAAUUUGUUGAAAAUUUACUUACCCUGAGGUCAUCUGAGAUGUAGAUGAGUUUGUUUCUUCCUCAGAUUUGGAGAAAUAUAGCAUUGCAUCACUUGCUCACCAAUGGAUCCACUGCAGUGAAUGGGUGCCGUCAAAAUGAGAGUCCAAACAGCUGAUAAAAACAUCACAAUAAUCCACAAGUAAUCCACAUCACUCCAGUCCAUCAGUUAACAUCUGGAGAAGAGAAAUAAGUAUAAAAAUGUGAAAUAAUAUUUGCAAGUUUAAAUAAUUGUUUUCUGUUUGAAUAUAUGCUCAAAUAUAAUUUAUCAUUUCUGAUGCGCAGCUGUAUUUUCAGCAUCAUUUCUCCAGUGUUCAGUGUCACAUGAUCCUUCAGAAAUCAUUGCUGCUAUUUAUUUCUAUUCAUUUGAUGUCCAUCAGUUAACAUCUGGAGAAGACAAAAGAUGAAAUAAAAAAAAUCCAUGAUUACGACGAUUAAACUACAAAACGUUGCUUUUUGCUAAAACAUGAGCCAAUAAUCCAUUAUACAGCAUAAUCCUCCAGUGAAAAAGUAUAAUCUGGUCUGAAUCAGGAGAGAAAUCUGCACAAGUGAAAACAGUUUAAAACGGCUCCAA